UACGAAGGGGGCUAGCGUUGCUCGGAAUCACUGGGCGUAAAGCGCACGUAGGCGGGUUCUUAAGUCAGGGGUGAAAUCCUGGAGCUCAACUCCAGAACUGCCUUUGAUACUGAAGAUCUUGAGUUCGGGAGAGGUGAGUGGAACUGCGAGUGUAGAGGUGAAAUUCGUAGAUAUUCGCAAGAACACCAGUGGCGAAGGCGGCUCACUGGCCCGAUAACUGACGCUGAGGCACGGAAAGCGUGGGGAGCAAACAGGG
rnacentral:rRNA from 1 species